CCUACGGGGGGCUGCAGUGAGGAAUAUUGGUCAAUGGGCGAGAGCCUGAACCAGCCAAGUCGCGUGAGGGAGUACUGCCCUAUGGGUUGUAAACCUCUUUUGUCGGGGAGCAAAAUCCGGCCGUGUCCGGCUGUGAGAGUACCCGCAGAAACAGCAUCGGCUCACUCCGUGCCAGCAGCCGCGGUAAUACGGAGGAUGCGAGCGUUAUCCGGAAUGAUUGGGCGUAAAGGGUGCGUAGGCGGCCUGCUAAGUCUGGAGUGAAAGGUACCGGCUCAACCGGUACAGGCUCUGGAAACUGGCGGGCUAGAGAGCAGGAGAGGGCGGUGGAACUCCAUGUGUAGCGGUAAAAUGCGUAGAUAUAGGGAAGAACACCAGUGGCGAAGGCGGCCGCCUGGCCUGUGACUGACGCUGAGGCACGAAAGCGUGGGGAGCAAAUAGGAUUAGAUACCCGUGUAGUC
rnacentral:rRNA from 1 species